AAUAUGUUGCAAUGGGCGAAAGCCUGACCCAGCAACGCCGCGUGAGGGAAGAAGGUCUUCGGAUUGUCCACCUCUGUUGCAGGGGACGAGUAAGAGACGGUACCCUGUGAGGAAGCCCCGGCUAACUACGUGCCAGCAGCCGCGGUAAUACGUAGGGGGCGAGCGUUGUCCGGAAUUACUGGGCGUAAAGGGAGCGUAGGCGGUUAUUUAAGUUGGAUGUGAAAAGCCCGGGCUAAACCUGGGAGGGGAAUUCAAAACUGGAGGACUUGAGUACAGGAAAGGAAGCGGAAUUCCUAGUGUAGCGGUGAAAUGCGUAGAUAUUAGGAGGAACACCAGUGGCGAAGGCGGCUUUCUGGACUGACACUGACGCUGAUGCUCGAAAGCGUGGGGAGCAAACAGG
rnacentral:rRNA from 1 species